rnacentral:rRNA from 1 species
GAUGAACGCUAGCGACAGGCCUAACACAUGCAAGUCGAGGGGCAGCACAUGCGUAGCAAUACAAUGGUGGCGACCGGCGCACGGGUGAGUAACACGUAUGCAACCUACCUGUAAGAGGGGAAUAACCCGGAGAAAUUCGGACUAACACCGCAUAAUACCUCGAAGCUGAAGGGCUUUGAGGUUAAAUAUUUAUAGCUGACAGAUGGGCAUGCGUAACAUUAGAUAGUUGGUGAGGUAACGGCUCACCAAGUCAACGAUGUUUAGGGGUUCUGAGAGGAAGGUCCCCCACACUGGUACUGAGACACGGACCAGACUCCUACGGGAGGCAGCAGUGAGGAAUAUUGGUCAAUGGGCGAGAGCCUGAACCAGCCAAGUCGCGUGAAGGAAGAAGGUUCUAUGGAUUGUAAACUUCUUUUGUAAGGGAAUAAAAAAGCUUACGUGUAGGCUAUUGUAUGUACUUUACGAAUAAGGAUCGGCUAACUCCGUGCCAGCCGCCGCAGUAACAC